GAAUUUGUUGUGUGUGUGUGUGUGUGUAUAUAUAUUUGUUAAUAAUUGUUAUAUAUUAUUCUUUCUUUUAUUUGCAUUUUACUGCUGCUCUAGCUCGUUUCCUUCUAAUAAACCUGGAGUUGCAAACUAAAUAUUGUUGGCUCUGUGACAGAUUGCUUGUUUCUUUCCUAGAUUCUUCAGUGGUGAUGGCCUGCUGCACCCAGCAGAGUUGGAGUGAAGCUACUGUCAGACAGUGGCGUACCGUGGGGUUUCAGUCAGGGCCUUCAAUUCUUCAGUGCUGAUGGCCUGCUGCACCCAGCAGAGUCAGUGUGAACUCCUGUAAGACAACAUCACCAAGAUGCUAUAAACCGCAGGAUUAGAUGCCCAUCCCGAGGUUACUAGAGAUGAAGCCAGCUCCAGUUUGGAUCCAAACUCACUUGUGAAGAUGCCAACGCUCACAAAGACUACAGAUGACGGCAACUGUACAUGGACACACAAAACACUGGACACACAAAACAAAUAUUAUCCUUAUAUUGCCUAUAAGGGUAAGUUUGACAAUUUUCAACCCGCUAUUGUAUUAUUGCAACGUCUGUAAUAUCUGUAAAUGAACAAUAUUUACUCUUUCUCUGAGUUAUAUGGACCCUAUUUGUCCCCUUUUAUUUGUAAGCAGCACUUCGCAAGAUGACGCAAAAUGAAAUGAGUUUUGACAAAAUGACACAAACACUUUUGCAGCAUCUAAAUGAAAAAAUGCUGUUUUGCAUCAGUUUUGCUGACAAAUACACUGGGUAUCUUGGAGAAAGAAUAAACAUUGUUCUUUACAUAUGUUACCAACAUUGUAACAAUACAAAAUGGACUGAAAAUUGUUGAACUUACCCUUUAAUAAUGUUGAAGGAUAAUGUUUAACUGAACACAAAAAUAGAGACUUUAAAUAAAAAUAUUUUAGAAUUUUUAUCAUGCUAUUUAAAAUUUUUAACUGCUUAUUUAUUGUUUGCCUGGUUUUUAAUUUGUGUUUAUGCAACUGUUGUAUUAUUGUAACUCAGUUUUUGCCAUGAAGAUAGCCUUCGAUGCUGACAGCACAGAACACAUGACUUGUUUUAUGAACUACUGUCAUAUGGACAUUAUUUUGUUGCCAGAAGAUGGUCUUCCCCAGUGAGUCUCAGUCACCUCUGGCUGAUUAAAGGAUGUUUUUAAAUUGUAACCUUGAAAUAUGCAUAUUCUGUAAACCUACUUUGAAAUUAUAAGUAUUGUGAAAAGUGCUAUACUUAUACAAUAUUUAACCAUGGUUUUACUAUAGUAAAACUGUAGCAAGCAUGAUUAUAGUAACCAUGUGUUUUUUUUUUUUUUGAAACCACGGUUUCGAUGUCAUAUUCUACUAUAGUAAUAUUGUAGUAAUACUUCAGUAAAACUGGUAACUAUGACUAUAGUAACCAUAGUUUUUGAAAUCAUGGUAAUAAAAUCAGUAAUGGUUAUUUUGUACUUACUAUGGUUUUACUGCAACAGUCAUAGUUAAACCAUGGUGAUUGUAGUAAAACUAUGUUUGAUUUUGAGUUUACUAUGGUUUUACUGCAAAUGCUGUGGUAAAAUCAUGGUUAAUUUUCAAAAGACUACAAAUAAUCGUGAAUUAUCCGCUUUUGAUCAAAACAUCUGGUAAAUGUAUUUGUAUGUGUAAUGUGUUAAAUGAAAAUAUUAAUAAAGUUGCAGCUGUUCUUGAGAGUGGUGUGUAUUGUUUUAUUAUAAACCAGCGGCGGCAGCUGCAGGUGGUCCGUAACGAUGAGCAAAACGCCGGUGAACCGCGUGCACGCAGAGCGGCCGGGAUUUACAGCUGCGUCGUCCCAACAUCGGCCGGAGGGCAUAUCCGAUCAGAGGCCGACGUCGCGGCGACGUAUUGCCGAUUAGCAAACGAUCCCUGAGCGACAUCGUGCCGACGAAAUUUUGUACAUCGGGCCGACGUCGGCCAGACGUACGUGUGC